CCGGGUUCCACCAGUUUAUAAAUGCCACUCCGAUGUCCGGCUUCGGUUUCAUUUCAUUUGUAGAACUUUGAGCAAUCAGAACUCUGAUCAAGACAUAGAUAAAGAGAGAUCCACAGACAUGUUCAAGUACAGAAAAUUAGUAAGUUUCAAGCGGGGGCAAACGCCAGACUUGCUCAACGAUGAACGAUCAACAGGUGCUCCGGCUGCUCCUCCUGGCUGCUGCUGCUGCUGCUGCUGCUGCCUCGGCGGGACAGAUCCGGGAUGCUGCCGAGGAGGUGGAGGUGCCGCCUGCACAUCGUGCUGCCCCGCCGCCACCUACUGCUGCGGGACCACCGGGAGGACCACUUGUGGGUGUGCCGCCGAGCUAUCCCUUGUUCUACCAAGCUGCGUGGCUGCCAUUCGGGCGCUACAGCGCCUCCAUUCCCAUCGUGCCACCACUUGCGGCACUCACUCGUGCCACUACCCCAUGAGCCAGCCCAAAGUUCGAGCCCUGACCGCCGGACACUGCAGUGGCGCCGCCGCUUCUUGUUGAAUUUUCAUGAAUUAUUUGUUACAUUUGAUGUUUGUUUUGGUUCUGUUUGGAAAUAUAUUUCGAUUAUAAUUAGACACAAGAUGCAACUCGCUCUCCCCGUCUCUCCUUGGGUGUAGUUAUUCUAGUAAUUGGUGGAAUGACGCAGCUUUCAGUUGGCAACGGCCGACACGUGCUUGUCCUACCGAAAGAUUUGCUUGUUUGCCUCGCCUAUCGAUGGCUCCCGACUGUAUUUUGAGGCACGAAAUUUGCAUUCGAUGACGCAAGUCAUUUGGCAUCUCUCUAGAUCAUUUCCGCAUUCGGC
rnacentral:lncRNA from 1 species